AUGCUGUUAAUAGAGGCAGGCAACAGAGCCUCGAAAGUCUUCCUUUGCAGCUUUACUGAUGGUUGCUAUUAUACAAACGGGGCCAACUGUGAAAUUGGGUUGGGUCAUCUCCGUUGUCAAUGGGCCUUGCUUAAAUCGCAGCAAAAAAGCCUUAGUUUUGUUCCUGGGGUAGGGUCCUACUGUAGCUCCAGCCCAGAGAAGCUACCCAGCAUCAUCUGCUUUGGGAAGAUUUUUCUGAGCCCAAGACUGGGGUAGCAUUUUCCCAAUCAGCCUGAAAAUACUGUGCAGUGCCUGGAGCACAAAGGUGUAAGAAUGCUGUAGAGCCCAAGAAGUGCCAAUUUAGCAGGGAGUGCUUAUACCUUCUCUGUGGAAGAGGCCAAAAAACUUGUCUCAGGUUGACUGAGGAUAUAUUUAAUACAUGAUCUUCCGAAGUUAAGUCUUCUUGCCUUCCCUCCUAAAG
rnacentral:lncRNA from 1 species